rnacentral:rRNA from 1 species
UACGGAGGGGGCUAGCGUUGUUCGGAAUUACUGGGCGUAAAGCGUACGUAGGUGGCUUUGUAAGUUAGAGGUGAAAGCCCGGGGCUCAACUCCGGAAUUGCCUUUAAGACUGCAUCGCUUGAAUCAUGGAGAGGUUAGUGGAAUUCCGAGUGUAGAGGUGAAAUUCGUAGAUAUUCGGAAGACCACCAGUGGCGAAGGCGACUAACUGGACAUGUAUUGACGCUGAGGUACGAAAGCGUGGGGAGCAAACAGG